CCUUCCCUUCGCAUAACCGACUCCCGAUCCCAUCUCUUUGGUCGCGAGACCAUGCUUUUCCCAGGUUUACUUCGAGCAUUUCCUUUCCCUCUUUUGGGAUAAAUAACGCACGGUGGCGGCUCUGUGUUGUUUUUUUUAGCCCGCCGGUUGUUUUUCGCGGAUGCGACAGCUGGCGACUCUGCUGGGGACAUAUAGAAGUUGACCUAUUGCUGG
rnacentral:lncRNA from 1 species